UACGGGGGGGGGCAAGCGUUGUUCGGAAUUACUGGGCGUAAAGGGCUCGUAGGCGGCCAACUAAGUCAGACGUGAAAUCCCUCGGCUUAACCGGGGAACUGCAUCUGAUACUGGAUGGCUUGAGUUCGGGAGAGGGAUGCGGAAUUCCAGGUGUAGCGGUGAAAUGCGUAGAUAUCUGGAGGAACACCGGUGGCGAAGGCGGCAUCCUGGACCGGCACUGACGCUGAGGCGCGAAAGCUAGGGGGAGCAAGCAGG
rnacentral:rRNA from 1 species